AGAGUUUGAUCCUGGCUCAGAAUAAACGCUGGCGGCGUGUCUUAAGCAUGCAAGUCGGACGGCAAGCCGCCUUCGGGCGGCCUAGAGUGGCGGACUGGUGAGUAACACGUGGGUGAUAUACCUUUUGGACGGGGAUAGCCCCUAGAAAUAGGGGGUAAUACCGGAUAAGGCCGUGCGGGUUGGAGCCGCACGGGGAAAGGCGCUGCGGCGCCGCCGAAAGAAUAGCCUGCGACCUAUCAGCUUGUUGGUGAGGUAAAGGCCCACCAAGGCGAUGACAGGUAUCCGGCCUGAGAGGGUGAACGGCCACAUUGGGACUGAGAUACGGCCCAGACUCCUACGGGAGGCAGCAGCUAAGAAUAUUCCGCAAUGGAGGAAACUCUGACGGAGCAACGCCGCGUGGACGAUGAAGGCCGGAAGGUUGUAAAGUCCUUUUAUAAUUGAGGAAUAAGCGGGACAGGGAAUGGUUCCGCGGUGACUGUAGAUUAUGAAUAAGCACCGGCUAAUUACGUGCCAGCAGCCGCGGUAACACGUAAGGUGCGAGCGUUAUUCGGAAUUAUUGGGCGUAAAGGGCACGCAGGCGGCUUUGCAAGCUUGGUGUGAAAUCUCAGGGCUCAACCCUGAAACUGCAUUGAGAACUGCAUGGCUAGAGUUAGUGAGGGGAAACCGGAAUUCCAGGUGUAGGGGUGAAAUCUGUAGAUAUCUGGAAGAACACCAAUGGCGAAGGCAGGUUUCCAGCACAUAACUGACGCUCAGGUGCGAAGGUGCGGGGAUCAAACAGGAUUAGAUACCCUGGUAGUCCGCACAGUAAACGAUGUGCACUAGGUGUCUGGGCAUAAGCCCGGGUGCCAAAGCAAACGCGAUAAGUGCACCGCCUGGGGAGUAUGCCCGCAAGGGUGAAACUCAAAGGAAUUGACGGGGGCCCGCACAAGCGGUGGAGCAUGUGGUUUAAUUCGAUGGUACGCGAGGAACCUUACCUGGGUUUGACAUACAUACCGAUUAUUUAGAGAUAAGUAAGCGUAGCAAUACGGGUAUGAACAGGUGCUGCAUGGCUGUCGUCAGCUCGUGCCGUGAGGUGUUGGGUUAAGUCCCGCAACGAGCGCAACCCCUACUGCCAGUUACUAACAGGUGAAGCUGAGGACUCUGGCGGAACUGCCGGCGACAAGCCGGAGGAAGGCGGGGAUGACGUCAAGUCAUCAUGGCCCUUAUGUCCAGGGCUACACACGUGCUACAAUGGUCGGUACAGAGUGAUGCGAGGCAGUGAUGCGGAGCAAAACGCAGAAAACCGAUCGUAGUCCGGAUUGGAGUCUGAAACCCGACUCCAUGAAGUUGGAAUCGCUAGUAAUCGCACAUCAGCACGGUGCGGUGAAUACGUUCCCGGGCCUUGUACACACCGCCCGUCACACCAUCCGAGUCGAGGAUACCCAAAGUCGGUAGGCUAACCGCAAGGGGGCCGCUGCCCAAGGUAUGCUUGGUAAGGGGGGUGAAGUCGUAACAAGGUAGCCGUACUGGAAAGUGCGGCUG
rnacentral:rRNA from 1 species